CCGUGCUUGGUGUUGGACGGCUUGGUUGAGUCACAUCGACCCCUCCUAAAGACAAUGACGGCGGCCUGUGGUUCCCCCGGUACACUGAGCUUUUAACUGAGCACGUACCGGACAAGGCACCCAGGACACGGUCCUCUCCUUCACAAGGAAAUUUUCUUAAGGUUGACCUCGGAUCAGGUAGGAAUACGCGCUGAACUUAA
rnacentral:misc_RNA from 1 species